AUGGAGGCUCAAAGAUCUCCCCCCACACCUUUUUUCUGCUUUUUAAUUUUUCAAAACAAUUUCUUACAUCAUCACGUCCUGGGUGGCGGCUUCGGAAGAAAAAAUGGCCAGUUCGUCUCAUUGAAUGUUGUAGAAACAUUAUUAAUAUACCACUCUAUCUCCCAGGGCCCCCCUGUAUACAACAGUAAUCUAGCAAAUGGAGGUCCCGCCAUUGUUUAUAUUCAAGCUUCUUUUGGCGGGCCAGAAGAUCUCUUUUGAAUUUUUCUUCAGUUUUGCGGGCUUCGAUACUGGCCUUUUUUUGCUUUGCUUCCUCUUCUUUUUUUCCGGCAAGUUCCCAGAGGGGGCGCCUUUCCCUUUUACUUAUUGCUGGGAGCUUCUUGACAGUACUUUCUUUACUUGUAGUCAGAACAGCCUCCUCGGAGCUCUUUUUCUCCAUCAAGGAGGGGAUUGACGGAGUCCGUAGAGGAUCCUCAGCCCACACCCAGAUAUUCAGCUUUUUUGUUUUUUUCAUUUCCCUAACUACACUAGCUCUAGAGCCUGACUAGCUCUAACUAAAAAAAUAAAAAAUUGAUAUAAUAAAAAUAGAGAUUAUAAAAAAUAGAGAUAAUAAAAAAUAGAGAUAAUAAAAAAUAGAGAUAAUAAAAAAAUAAAGAUAAUUUAAAAAAAGAUAAAUUAGGGUUAGGGUUCGGGUAAAGGAAAGGGUAAGGGGUUCAAUAACAACAACAACACCUACACACUACACACUACAAACAACACACUACAAACAACACUACAAACUACACACAAUAUAAACAACACUCUACAAACUACACUCUACACACUACAACCUACACACUACAUUCUACACACUAUACAAUAAAUAAAGAUAAAAAUUAAUAACAAAGACAAAAAUUAAGAAGAAAAGAAAAAAGAAAAAAAGAGAAAAAGAAAGGUAAAGAUAAAAGGUAAAGAUCAAAAGUAAAGAUCAAAGGUAAAGAUCAAAGAUCAAGAGAGAAAAUAAAAUAAGAAUAAGAAAAAUUGAAUCAAGGAAACAAGAGCUGAAAGAUUGAAUAAGACCUUGCUAUCACUUGCUACACCAACCACCUGCACCUCUACCCAGUCCAGAAUAGUGGUGGGCUUUAAAGAGAAGUAAAUAGCUUUCUUUUGCUGAAAGAGAGAAAGUGGUCACCCCAACAAAUUCCAUGGGUCAGUGGAAAUUUGAACCUUGAUUCCUACAUCUCCAGGCCCAUCCAGAUAUUACUUUAUUCCAGGAGCUCCUGCAGCAUUCAGAGGGUGGCCAGACACUGUUCCCUGUUAAACCGGAAGCAAUUGCUACAAAAGGCAAAAAACACGAGAUUUCCAGGUGCAGGAAUAUCUAAGUUUUUAGCUGAAUAUCCGGAUCUUUAUGUCCCUGCAAUUGGAAAUCAGGGAAUUGUUUAUCUGGGUUUGUUGCCGUGUUUUAGAUUUUUGUUCCUGAUUGGUCAGUUCCUAAAAAGAAGGUGACACUUGAGUAGAAGGCAAAAACUUUCUCCUGGGAAGAGGAACUUCAUCCUUCACAUGUUUAGUAAAGUUUGUGGCAGAAAAAUGAAGUUCCUGGGGCGCAGCAAGUACUUUCACAUGAAGUAGUACACAAUGAAACAGGAAGAUACACUUUCGAACCAGGAACAAAAUGUCAUCAUUACUGUAAUUAGUCAGACCUUGUUGUAUGGCCAUCUGUGCAGACAAGUUUUGUGGUGUACUUGUGCCAGGGAACAACAGGAUGAUGUUGCCAGAUCAUACAUGUUGGUUCCUCAUUGGAUGUAUGUUGACAACAUGGGUACAGUUCAGUAAAUGGCAAAAGCUUAUUACUGGCUGUUGGGACAUGGACGUGUUGUAGAGUAAUGUAAAUACUGAGAGCCAAGGUC
ensembl:lncRNA